CUUUUUCUGCUUUCCUCCCAACUAAUCUUACCCCCUCCCUACCUCUGAACAGUCAGUCGCCUUCCAACACAAGCAACAAUAAAGCCGCGAUCUGCCUAGAUACACGGACAGCCUGCUCUGUCAUUGGUCGUUGCUGCCACCCGGAGACAGAAGGCGCCAGGCUCGCACCGGCGGCAGCUAAAGUCUGCCUGUUUUGUCUUAAGAACUGCCGGAAGAAAAGAAUCAAUGGAUGAUAAAAUAACCGGAAAAUUAUGGGUAGUAGUGAUGAUGGAAGUUCGCUGUAAGCUCAUGUAGUCCACCCCUCCAUCCACAUGCAAUAUAACAUACAGACACACUCACAACAAAUCUGCAAUCACGGGCUCUCCUUCAUCCUAAUGGAGGCCUCGAAACCUCAACAGUUGUACCACAUUAAACUAAAAAUGCUUUUAUCCCCCAUAGUGUUCCUUGGUUUCCCGUAUGUAUAAUACUUUUCUUCCAAGGAGUUGCUAAUGCGUUUGCAUUCCCUUGGUUUUGCAGUCAGUGAACACUGGAAUUUUGACUGAC